CUUGCUCCCAGGCGUCGAGCGGCGGACGGGUGAGUAACGCGUAGGAAUCUACCCAGUAGCGGGGGAUAGCCCGGGGAAACCCGGAUUAAUACCGCAUACGCCCCACGGGGGAAAGGCCGGGAUCUUCGGACCGGUCACUAUUGGAGGAGCCUGCGUUGGAUUAGCUAGUUGGUAGGGUAAAGGCCUACCAAGGCGACGAUCCAUAGCUGUUCUGAGAGGAAGAUCAGCCACACUGGAACUGAGACACGGUCCAG
rnacentral:rRNA from 1 species